rnacentral:rRNA from 1 species
ACUCAAAGGAAUAGACGGGGGCUCACACAAGCGGUGGAGGAUGUGGCUUAAUUCGAGGCUACGCGAAAAACCUUAUCCUAGUCUUGACAUGCUUAGGAACCUUCCUGAAAGGGAGGGGUGCCCGCAAGGGAACCUUUGCACAGGUGCUGCAUGGCUGUCGUCAGCUCGUGUCGUGAGAUGUCGCGUUAAGUCGCUUAACGAGCGAAACCCUUGUCUCUAGUUACCAGCGGGUAAAGCCGGGGACUCUAGAGAGACUGCCGGUGUUAAACCGGAGGAAGGUGGGGAUGACGUCAAGUCCUCAUGGCCUUUAUGACUAGGGCUGCACACGUCCUACAAUGGCGCGUACAAUGGGCCGCAAGCUCGCGAGAGUAAGCAAAUCCCAAAAAGCGCGCCUUAGUUCGGAUUGCAGGCUGCAACCCGCCUGCAUGAAGCCGGAAUCGCUAGUAAUCGCGGGUCAGCAUACCGCGGUGAAUGUGUUCCUGAGCCUUGCACACACCGCCCGU